ACUUUCUCCGAAAGGUCUACCGUUGAAAACGAUAGUCUGCAAAGACGUGCGCAUAUUUAGAUAAUAAACAUAUUUUGUUAAAUAUGUUAAUUGAAGUUGGCAAACUCACAGACGAAUAUACUUUGUAACCUGCUCGGGCACGUUUGAAAACUGGACUGCUUUCACGUGACCCUAUGGCAGUGUGGUAGAUACAGGGGGCACGUCUAUAAAGAAUAGUUUAAGUACAUAAAGUCAAGCCUAAAUUUUUUACAUGCUCUUACAUGUAGGCUGAGUCUGCAAAUAUAAAUCCUCGGAACUCAGGAUUUAAUUUAUUUCUUUCAAACAUUUCCUUUGGACCUCUGUCUGGUGAACCAACAGGUUGAUAUCACGAAUGGCAAUCAUAUGAACGUCAUUUGGAUCGACACUUUCUCCUUCAACGAGAGGUGGUAGUCUUCUAUUUGCAUCCCCAGCCAUCCAGGUUAUCCAGUGAGUUACGAUCGAUCCUCCAAGUCUGAGGUCGAUGUGCCUAUCGUCUUCAUCUUCUUCGAGUUGGUAUAUUUCGUCCUCAUUAAAAUCAUUAACACCUUGUUCCGUAUCAAAUUCGUCAAACUUAUACAGAGGUUUCCAGUUAGCUGUGUUAGGGACCAACUCCCACAGAUUUCUUUCUUCUCUGAUCGUUCUAUAUGCUUCAUCUGAUUGCGCAUCCGUCAAUAUAGAUUUUUUGUUAAAUUUACUAACAAUAAGUUGAUUAGCAAUACGAAUAAACAUUUUCCCCGGUGCAGGGUUAACAACGGUCUGAUGUGACGCCAUGUUUACCCACUUCAGUUGCUCAUUUAUAACCAUCUGCACACUUUCUCCGAAAGGUCUACCGUUGAAAACGAUAGUCUGCAAAGACGUGCGCAUAUUUAGAUAAUAAACAUAUUUUGUUAAAUAUGUUAAUUGAAGUUGGCAAACUCACAGACGAAUAUACUUUGUAACCUGCUCGGGCAUGUUUGAAAACUGGACUGCGUUCACGUGACCUUACGUCAGUGUGGUAGGUACAAGCUCUCGGUCUGCAACAGGUCAUACGAAGGAUAUUAAAAGUAGAAAGUAUUAUUUAAGUAUUAUUUAACUAUAUACAUCACUGCCGAGUCCACAAAUAUAAAUCCUCGGAACUCAGGAUUUAAUUUAUUUCUUUCAAACAUUUCCUUUGGACCUCUGUCUGGUGAACCAACAGGUAAUAAAUACCCAACAAUAUAAGUCAAGUGAUAAGCUCUAUUAUCAUUCGCAUUUUCUAAUGUGAUCGUAUUUCUCCUGUUUAGGUUGAUAUCACGAAUGGCAAUCAUAUGAACGUCAUUUGGAUCGACACUUUCUCCUUCAACGAGAGGUGGUAGUCUUCUAUUUGCAUCCCCAACCAUCCAGGUUAUCCAGUGAGUUAGGACUGACUCAUUCUCGCGUUGUUUCUUCCUUCGUUCUGUUUGUUGUUGAUUUUGGAUUAUCAACCUUUAAAUACAAUAAAUACGUACAUCGAAAAUUUGUAUGGUUUCAUGUUUUCUAUAUAUUUUAGCUUACUGUUCCUGCGACAAAUAAUGGGAGCGACGCAAAUGAGAUUUAAACGUGUUUAUAUUGUCUGUUUCAUCUAAGUCGUUGAAUGGGCAAAUAUAGAAAAUUCCUAAAAACAUAGCCAAAUUAAUUGAGCUAAAAGUUAACUUGUACUAAAUUUUACAUAAGACAAUUACGAUUAUCAGGUUGUCGUUUUCCAUAAACUUCAUCAAUUGUAGGGCUUCAUGUAUAACAGUAGAAUAUUUUAAUACCAAGUCUACAUAAUAGUAUCAAAUAAUACAAAAAAUUUGACCAACUAACAGUGGCCCAUGGACCCUCGAUUUAUGUUGAGCCAACGCAUCAUAUGAUAUGGAUGAGAAGUCAUGUAUUUCUCCUGUUUCUGGGAUAACACGAUCACACCACCACCGGAUAUCUUAAUAUGAUAUCCACAUUAACAUAAAAAUUGGAACAUUUGUUAAUUUAGGCUAUAUAUCUCACCAUUGUUGAUCGGAUUUCUCCUACAGUAUCUUGAGUAUCUCAAUGAAUUUCUGGGAUCGGGCGCAGCACAUGAUGCUGUGUAUGUAUAAGUGUAUUCUUCCUUGUGUGGUUGAUGUGGUGCUUGACGAGCAACUCUAUUAGUCUUUGUUUUGUUCUUAUGUACUGUCUUUAUACUUCCGACGUAAUUCUCCAAAUCUGAAAUUGCAUAUAAUCAAAAUUUAUGUGAAAUAAAAUAAUAGCCAGCUCUAAAAUGACAACUACUUUAACUCCCAUACAGCUUAAUAACUCAGUUUCGAUUUACGUAUACGAAAACGCAUAAACUAACCACAUGUGCAAAAAAAGAAUUUAGAAUUAUAUUGAUAUUAUAAACAUACAGAAUGGAAAUUUCCGCUCUCCUUCUCUUCCAAUGGGAUAUUCUUGUUGGAUCACAAACUUCUCCUUCGUUCCAUUCUUAUUAAGUUGUUGAAUAAUUAAUGGAAAUCCGAGGAUUAAUUGUAUAGCAAGGCAAACAAUCAAGACCUUAUGGAACAUUGUUGCUGUAAUAACAAAGGUUUAAGUUAUUAAAAGGAAAUAGUGUCGUGAUAAUUAUGGAGGCAAUUACAACAAAGGAACACGAAUCAAAUAUGUGAGAAAUGCUUAUCAGUCAUUUUUCAUCCCUCUGGCUUUUUUUCCUCGCCAUUUUUUUAUAUGCCAAACUAUGUGGUCAUUAAUUGUACUUGUGCUAACCAAACUUCCCGAGAUAAUGAGGUAAUGAGUCGAAUAUAAAAACAAAAGGGGGGUUAGGUGGUGUUUACUGGAAAGGUUAGAAAACCAUUAAAAUGAAACUAACAUGUUUUUAACGAUGCAUUCUUAUUUUAUUGUCACACGCAGUUGGAAAGAUAGAUCGUUAUAUGUAGUAGGUGAGGUCUAGCCUUUAAACCACAGUGGGAUCAGGAUCACCAUCACACGCUAUGAAAGGAGGACAUUGGACUAAUAAAUAAAGUUAACAAAGAGCACCAUUUUGUUUAAACUCAAUAAUCCAAUCUUUUAAUAAUAUGGAUACCUCCGUUAUCGUAUGUUAUCUCUCUAUUACCAGAAAAUAUUUUUAUUAAUUGGCUUUAUAAAACUUACAAAAUUUCGAGGUAGUUAAGCCCAAUAUGUGGCACAGUCGUCUUCUUUACGACGCAGAAUCUAUGAUUUUGAAAAUACACUGGAUUAGUUUGUGUAUAAGCGAAUUUUGAACGAUGACGUGUUUUGGGUCAGGAGGUAAUCCCGACUGGAGUAGAAGAAGCAAACGGAGGUGCUUAUGUUGCCGUUUAAGUGGGGGGUUCAAGAGAAGGUUUUAAGGCUAAUGACCUCAGCACGCACUUCUGCUAUCUGGAUAUCCAGCACAAGCAAUUCCUUUUUAGAUUAGCUCUCACUCUGUAUUUACCAAAAACAGUCAUGUCUGCUUGUUUGUAAUCCUUUAUUUAUGCGUCAGUAGUUAUCAGUUAGUACAAACUGGUUUCGUAAACAUGUCAAUCCAUACUCAGGAGGUUAUUCUAAGACAAAAAAAAAGCGCGUAGCAAGAUUGAAGAAGACGACGAGUAAAGUAUUACAUGUGGAAUAUUAUUAUACUAUACAUUCUUUUAUUGAAAGUAUGUUGGCUGCCAAAGUCAAAGAGGAGAAGAUUUUAUAUUUUGGGGCACAGCAGCUAAAAAGUGCGUAGAGUGCAUUUGGUAUAUAUGAGCAAUUUCAUCCCAACGUCUGUCGCUGUCGAAAUCCUUGGAUAAUUCCAACUAAUUCCAAAGUUCUUUCCUCCACCCGCACGUGGAGUCCCAGACUUCAUCACCCUGGUAGACGCUUACUUGGCAUUCAUUCACUCUGCUGCUGGUUCUGCUUCUUCGAGUACAUGGAGAUUCAACACAACAAUUCAUCCCUUCCAGCACCAUUCAAAUACAUUUUAUCUUGACAAUUCAUCCUGGAAUAAUAAUAUUCGAUGCAUGAAAACGAAUGUACAUGCAUACACGCGGCUCAAUCAAGCAUUUCUCAAUCCAGUUCUUUAAUGCAUGGCUUCAGCUAAAGAUAGAAAAAGUCAACUUAUCGUCCAUGGAACGAACCAAAGAAACAAAUUCCCACUUAUUGGUUCACAUAGUUAUCUAAUUGAGAAACACCGAACUUUAUCAAUAUUUUCUAACCGUAUAUAUGUAAAGAAUGAGGUAUCGUUCUAUAAAUUUAUAACAUUUUCUUUCUGGCGGAGACACAUGAUCAGCAUUUUUUAGCGAAAAAUAUUUAAAAAGACUAUUUCAUAAGCUUCCUUUUGAACCACGCCCUUCAGUGAUAAUCGUUAAAGCUUUUGCUUCUGUUGAUUUACUCGAAAUCAUUUGGAAAGAGUGGGGUACGGAGUCUAAAUGUAAUACUUGAGGUUUCCACAUGAAUAAAGCGUGUGCAUAAUACCCAAGGUAUUAAUGGCUUGAAUAUUUAAGGGACAACAAUGCGAUAUGAACAAUGAGGAAUGAUUUAUGCUUCUGUCGGACAUUUUCAUUCUAAUUGAACUACUGAAUGUGCUUAAAAAGAUAUCUAUCUACUCGAUUAUGCAAUUUUCUUGUUUGAUGUAUUUAAAAUUAUUAAAGUUAGCUCGUCAACAUAAUAAAUUGAAGUUGUUUAUGAAAUAGUAUUCCAUGUCAGCCCUUGUCAUGAAAAUAAUAUAUGAUUACAUAACUAAACCGUGCUUAACAGUCGUAAAUUGUUCAAAUUACAACAAAGUUGUAUACAUCGCGUCUAACCAUUUUUACAUUUAGCACCUCCACCAAUUACUCCAAUAUUAAUGAUGUUGUAACAGAUUUGAAAAAUUGUUUGAUAAUAUUAUAAUAAAUUGUUAAAACAUAACUUACAGAUAUACAAAUAAACAAUUUUAUUUAUUUCUUAACUUUAAUAAUGAACAAUUUUAUAAAACUUCGAAAUAACAUUAAAUGUCACAAACAAAUAUCACAAAUUUAUUUGUUUAUCAGUCUCAUCAACAACACUGGAGACAACUUAUCCAUUUAAGGAGUAGUGAAUCGUCUAGGAGCUGUUUGUUUUUGGAUGCAGUAGAAUGCAGCUGAACCCAAACCCAUCAUCUCAACUCCAGAUUAGGUGCAUGUACAAACUCGUUGUUACGAAAAACCUUAAAAUUCUUACCUACGAAGAAGAGGAUGACCUCCAAAAAACCAACUCUUCUUCCGCCAGCAUCGUCCCCUCCACCCAAUCCCUCUCCGGAAAGAAACCCCCUAGCUGCAAGGACAGCUCUUCGCCAUCUUCCGGAGACACUUCCCACCCAUGCCGACAAAAAACCUAAAAAAGAUGAGAUGAUUAAUAAAACGGUAUUUUUUAUAAAACAUAAGAAAUGUCUUACCACAAAAAAACCAGGCUAGCAGACCCCAAGCAAUCUUGUCAAUGGCGGACGACAAAACACUCAAAACAUCAUCUACAGCCUCCUUCGCGGGACCUGUGGAAGUCUCCACACCAAUCUUCUCUGUUGUAUCCUAUUUAUAAUUGUAAUAAUAAAUAUAAUAGUUGAAUA